UUUGCUCUCUUGAUCUUUAGCUUAUCUCCCAUUUUUAUUUUGAUGUUUUCACCUAAUUAAUCAAACCCAUCUAUGGUUCCAGGAGAAAGAAACCCCGAUUAUUAUUCCUCCACUCAAAAUCCCAAUUUUAGAUUUGGUCCCAAUUUUCAUAUUUGUAAUGAUGCUCAAGGCAAUGCACAUCUCAAUGUAAUGCUAAUUUUUUUUAGCUGGUAUGAUUCGAAUUCCACAGCAAUGUCCUAUCUUCUUCCCUCAAACUGAAUCAGUUCUGAUAAUUCAAUUUUUCCUAAGCUGUUCUUUGUUUUUAGAUCAUUCUCCAAAAUACCCGAAGUUGAUAUUUAGGUUUCUUAUUUAAAAACGAAUAAGAACAAAGACUCGGAAAAUGUACUAUAUUUCCAAAUUUAUACAAAGGAAAGUACAUACACUUCUGAUUACACGUACACACUAUACAAAGCUAAAAGUAUGUAAUACAUAAGUCAUGGUGGAUGGUUGUAUCUGCACUUCAAAGCCUCUCAUAUUCUUUGUAUUGAUGGAGUUCAGUUUCUCAUAGGUUCAUAUUUGGUUUCAUCUCCUACAAUUCUUCAUACCUACAUUCAGAUGUUCUUAAAGGUCACGAAUUGGGGAAGGUUUUUCCAACUGUUGUAGGUAAACAAUCUCGUGGGAAUAAUUUAUAAUGUUUGUUGGUGUUUUAACAACUAAAAACAUCUUUGUCUAAAAAACCCACAGAUGUUUCUGAACCUUUGCAAGCUUCAAUGGUUUUUCUUUCUGAAGAUCAGCUGUUUUAAGUCUACAGAUAGUGCAAUUUAAAUAAAAGAUGUGUCUAUUUUGUCAGAAUUUCAAAGAUGUAUUUCGGAUUAAGAAAAUAGUAUCUUGCUACAGCUGCAGCUUCCAUCAGAACAAGAAUUUAAGGGCGCGGUCUUUCAAAUCAAGCCAUUGUCUUCACUUAGAAAUGGUGGUUUUCAGACAGCUUUUUAUCAAGAAUGUUGGUCUACAGUUGGUAAAGAGGUUAGUAUUAUUAGGUCAUGCCCUAUAGUAUAAAACUGAAGGUUCCACAGCAGCAGCAUGAACUUCAUGAGGUUUUAUGGAGGUGAGGAAGCUGGAGCUUUGUAAAACUCAUAGAAUUUUCAACAUUAAAAGAAGAAGUUCAUGAUGGCAACCGGUUCUCAAAAUUAAGGUGAUCAAUGCAUUUAUAUAUCUCACAUUUUGUUGAUCAUUUGUUAUUCAUCUUCUUAUUGGUAGGCAGUGUAAAACAUGUUGCAGUAUUCAAUUUGCACUAUGCUUCACUUCAUGCACUACGUUGGCGAGCUCUCUUUGUGAUGCUAUUAAAUGUUAUUAGAUAUAUAUAUAUAUAUAUAUAUGGGCCCACAUAUAUUAAGAAGAUUUGCAUAAAUAAAGAUCAUAUUAUAUUGAAGAUAUUGAAGAUAUUAAAUUGAAGACUGGAAGAUAUUGAAGAUCAUGCAAUAUAUUUUGUACAUAGCAAGUCUCAUAUAAAUUAGGAGUAGAAUUUAUAAUAUUUUAUUUUCUCUUAAUUUUUCUUUUAUUUCUUUAUAUUUUAUAUCUUUGUAAAUCAAGUAAUGUAAUUACAUAUAUAUAUAUAUAUAUAUAUAUAUAUAUAUAUACGUGAAUAUAAUUCUAAGUCUAACAAAGUUGGAAAGACAAGUAAACAAGAGGUGUGUCCAUUUCUAUGAUGGUAUACAAGAGCUAGUGAGUAAAAGAUCCAUAAUCCAAGUAAGUUUCUCCACUUUUUUGUUUAGUCAAUUGAAAUGGUAACUCCUCCUUCUUCUCCAACCAAAAAACCGGAUGAUUCUCUUUCGGAAACUCCAAUUGAACCCACACCAAAAGUGGCGAUUAAUGAUCCGUAUGCGAUUCACCAUUCGGAUAAU